rnacentral:misc_RNA from 1 species
CGGGAUUAGUUGUGCAAGAAUCUCAAAGUCAGAAUGCUAUGUUUGGCCUUACCAAUUCAGAGUUGCAUGACCUUUCUCGUGACAAGUGUGAAAGUCAGAUGCUAGUUGAGUACAAUGCUGUGAAAUUCCCUACUGCUUUCAAUCCAGGAGAUAUCAGCAAUGUGGAUGAUGUGGCAGGCUUCUUUGCUGAAGCUGCAGCUUCUGAGAAGAUGAAUGACAGCAUGAUUGACCAUUCUGCGCUAACAUCUAACGGAAUUUCUUUUAUGUCUACUGCUACACAAAAUGAGGGGCAAGAUGUAAACUGUGAAAGCUUUGAUAUGCAUGAAUCCUCUGAAAUAAGCCCUCCAGUCACUUCUGAAGCAAUAAACAUCGACACUCCUGUCACUCAAAAGCGUCUGCGUAAGCCUACACGAAGGUAUAUUGAUGAAUCGUCAAACCUUAAUGCUAAG